rnacentral:rRNA from 1 species
AACGAACGCUGGCGGCAUGCCUAACACAUGCAAGUCGAACGAGAUCUUCGGGUCUAGUGGCGCACGGGUGCGUAACGCGUGGGAAUCUGCCCUUUGGUUCGGAAUAACAGUUGGAAACGACUGCUAAUACCGGAUGAUGACGAAAGUCCAAAGGUUUAUCGCCCGAGGAUGAGCCCGCGUAGGAUUAGCUAGUUGGUGUGGUAAAGGCGCACCAAGGCGACGAUCCUUAGCUGGUCUGAGAGGAUGAUCAGCGACACUGGGACUGAGACACGGCCCAGACUCCUACGGGAGGCAGAAGUAGGGAAUAUUGGACAAUGGGCGAAAGCCUGAUCCAGCAAUGCGGAGUGAGUGAUGAAGGCCUUAGGGUUGUAAAGCUAUUUUACCCUGGAUGAUAAUGACAGUACCGGGAGAAUAAGCUCCGGCUAACUCCGUGCCAGCCGCCGCGGUAA